UACGGAGGGGGUUAGCGUUGUUCGGAAUUACUGGGCGUAAAGCGCGCGUAGGCGGACCAGAAAGUUGGGGGUGAAAUCCCGGGGCUCAACCCCGGAACGGCCUCCAAAACUCCUGGUCUUGAGUUCGAGAGAGGUGAGUGGAAUUCCGAGUGUAGAGGUGAAAUUCGUGGAUAUUCGGAGGAACACCAGUGGCGAAGGCGGCUCACUGGCUCGAUACUGACGCUGAGGUGCGAAAGUGUGGGGAGCAAACAGG
rnacentral:rRNA from 1 species